AUGCUUGGGCCGUGUCACUGGGUCGUGACGGUGCCGGAGGACGAGGACAGCAAGGCCGGGUGCCGCGGCACCGCGUUGGCCGCGGCCGGUGAAGGGGGCGAAGAAGGGCGGCUUCCCUGGCCGUGGUUGUGGCCGUGGCCCUGGGAGUUGGUGCGGUGGAAGCGGCACUUGGAGGACCCGUCGUGGGUGGCCAGCACGCAGGCGCACUUGGAAGCGGGGCCGUGGCCCGCGCCGGACGGCGCCGACGUCGACCCGGGCCACCUCCUCCGCGUAUUUUUGGAGCUGUGGCUGGCCGAUUUACAUGAAAUUAUUUCCCUCAGUUGUGGUGGCAAAAAUACACAUAAUCCAUAUUGUUAUGCACUACCGUGUGUGUGUGUGUGUGUGUGA
rnacentral:rRNA from 1 species